rnacentral:lncRNA from 1 species
UUGUGCCACCCUUACCACUGCUGCGGAAGUGAUGUGGGAAUCACAGGGCGGAGCGAGUGAUUUAUAGACAAACCCCGUCCGUAAACUCCCAGACAGAGGCAGGGUACGGGGCUAGCACGGCGUUCAAGGCUCAUCGUGCUUCAUCCCAGCUCACCUACUCAACUGGACUUUCGCUACCCACCUGCAGCCCUUCUGUGUCAAUCACCUGGGGCCUCUCACGGCUAGGGUUUCAGGUUUCAGUGUCCUUGUUCACCCUGGAAGCCUGAAAGUUCAAAACAACACCUGAUUCGCUCUUGUUCUCUCAUUCUGGAAUCUAUUUUCUCUCCUUUAGCUCUGAUUUAAAUCGAUUUUCAGCACGCUCCAUGAUGCAGAGCAAGUGUCUUCUCUUCCAUGAAGGCUUCUCUUACGGACCAAGACAAAAGCAUCCAAGCAGAUCUGGUCUUGAAUAUUGCUUCUGCAACUCUCUCUCACUUUGAUGUUGCAUAAGGUAUCCAAUUUCUCUCUUUUAUUCAUUGUUAGUGUUAUGAUUAUUGAAUUUAUGUAACUGUUAGCUAAUCUCCAAACCCACUUUUUCCAGCUAGACAUAAUUCUACAGCCUCUUUUAGGAUUAGGUAUGGUCAUGUGACAGAAUUCCAGCCAGAAGAGUGUGAGCAGGAGUGAUGUUUGCCAUUUUGGGGCCUGACCCGUGAAAACUUCCUGUGCAAUCCUCCGUGCUUUUUUCCAUUUCUGCAGCAAACUUGGGUGCCAUGUUUUGAAGAUGGGGGUGUGGUAGCAAAAUUUCAAGAUGUUCUCCAGUGAUCCUUGCCUCCUGGUAUUCAUGCCCCAUAUAAUUCUCUACUGUCCUGAGUACGAUGGAUGUGUGCCACCAAUAGGAUAUUGCAGAAAGGGCAGUGUGUGACUCCCAAGGCAAGGUCAUAAAAGCUAUGUGGCUUCUGCUGUAACCUCUCUUGCAUCAUUCUCUUUGGUGGAAGCCAGUCACUAUGUCAUAAGGACACUCAAGCAGUCUUGUGGAGAGGUCCAUGUGGUGGGGAACUAAGACCUCCUGCCAGCUGCCAGCACAAAUUCUCAUUUAUGUGAGAGAUCAUCUUAGAAGUGGAUGCUCCAGUCCCAGUUCAAUCUUCAGAUGACUGCCACCUUGCAAGAGACUCUAAGCCAGAACCACCCAGACAAGCCACUCCCAAAUUUCUUAUGUAUGGAAACUGAUAAUGCCUAUUGUUUUAAGCUGCUAAGUUUUGGGGGUAAUUUGUUAUGCAGAAAUAGCUAACUGAUACAGGGGGCCACAAAGUGAAAGGGGCUUAGGUCCCUGUGACUCCCUAAAUAGGAGCUGCCCACUGAGACUUGGGCUUUGUCUCUAAGUGGGAAUCCCAAGGCUUAAGCUCCUUUAGCUUUAUGGUAAAUCUGCCUUUGUUAGACUCCAGUACAUGUCUCUGCUUUUUCAAGUCUUUCUUUUAUGGCUAUUAGUAAAGUUUUGUAAUUUUUUUCCUGUAGGUUUUGAAUAUUUCCUUUUUUUCAUUUUCUUUUUUCCUCCUGUUUAUUUCUAUUUCUAGCCAUUUAAUAGUUGGUUUUGUCUUUGUAGAUUGAAUGGAAUUUAAAUGAUUUGUGUAUGUUGAUCUUUAUAUUCUGCAACUUUGCUCAAUUCUCAUGUAAAUAAAGAAAUUUGCCAGUUAAUCUUGAAUUUUCUAGAUAAUCAUAUCAUGUACAGAAAAUAACAGUUUUCCUUUCCUUUGUCAGUGUCUUAUUUCUUUUUCUUAUUCUAUUGUGUUGACAAGUACUUCUAAUAGGAUAUUGAAUGGUUAUGGUGAGAGUAGUUUGGUCUUGUCAUUUACAUGUCUCUCCAUUAAGCAUGAGACUUGCUGGAAACGUCUAGUAGAUUGAAUUUAGCACAUUCUUUUUGAUGUCUAGUUUGCUA